GACGAACGCUGGCGGCGUGCUUAACACAUGCAAGUCGAACGGAAAGGCCCUGCUUUUGCGGGGUUCUCGAGUGGCGAACGGGUGAGUAACACGCGAGUAACCUGCCCUUGUCUUUGUGAUAACUUUAGGAAACUGGGGCUAAUACCGGAUAGGAGCUCUUGCUGCGUGUUGGGGGUUGGAAAGUUUCGGCGGUAGGGGCUGGACUCGCGGGUUAUCAGCUUGUUGGUGGGGUAGGUGCUUACCAAGGCUUAGACGGGUAGCCGGCCUGAGAGGGGUAACGGCGACAAUAGGACUGCGAGAGGGAGCAGAAGGCUACGGGAGGCAGCAGGGGGAAGUAUUGCAGAGUGGGCGGAAGCGUGAGGCAGAGACGCCGCGUGCGGAAUGACGGCCUUCGGGGUAUAAACCGCUUUCGACUGUAACGAAGCGUGAGUGACGGUAAUGGGUAAAGAAGCACCGGCUAACUACGUG
rnacentral:rRNA from 1 species